GUAGGUGGCAAGCGUUGUCCGGAAUUAUUGGGCGUAAAGCGCGCGCAGGCGGUUCUUUAAGUCUGAUGUGAAAGCCCACGGCUCAACCGUGGAGGGUCAUUGGAAACUGGAGAACUUGAGUACAGAAGAGGAAAGCGGAAUUCCACGUGUAGCGGUGAAAUGCGUAGAGAUGUGGAGGAACACCAGUGGCGAAGGCGGCUUUCUGGUCUGUAACUGACGCUGAGGCGCGAAAGCGUGGGGAGCAAACAGGAUUAGAUACCCUGGUAGUCCACGCCGUAAACGAUGAGUGCUAAGUGUUAGGGGGGUUUCCUCCCCCCUUAGUGCUGCAGCUAACGCAUUAAGCACUCCGCCUGGGAGUACGGCCGCAAGGCUG
rnacentral:rRNA from 1 species